AUUGAACGCUGGCGGCAUGCCUUACACAUGCAAGUCGAACGGCAGCGGACCUUCGGGUGCCGGCGAGUGGCGAACGGGUGAGUAAUAUAUCGGAACGUACCUUUCAGUGGGGGAUAACGUAGCGAAAGUUACGCUAAUACCGCAUAUUCUGUGAGCAGGAAAGCAGGGGAGUCGCAAGACCUUGCGCUGAUUGAGCGGCCGAUAUCAGAUUAGCUAGUUGGUGAGGUAAAGGCUCACCAAGGCGACGAUCUGUAGCGGGUCUGAGAGGAUGAUCCGCCACACUGGAACUGAGACACGGUCCAGACUCCUACGGGAGGCAGCAGUGGGGAAUUUUGGACAAUGGGCGCAAGCCUGAUCCAGCCAUGCCGCGUGAGUGAAGAAGGCCUCGGUUGUAA
rnacentral:rRNA from 1 species